rnacentral:rRNA from 1 species
UCAGGCCUAACACAUGCAAGUCGAACGGCAGCACGGGUGCUUGCACCUGGUGGAGAGUGGCGAACGGGUGAGUAAUAUAUCGGAACGUGCCCUAGAGUGGGGGAUAACUAGUCGAAAGAUUAGCUAAUACCGCAUACGAUCUACGGAUGAAAGUGGGGGAUCGCAAGACCUCAUGCUCCUGGAGCGGCCGAUAUCUGAUUAGCUAGUUGGUGGGGUAAAAGCCUACCAAGGCGACGAUCAGUAGCUGGUCUGAGAGGACGACCAGCCACACUGGGACUGAGACACGGCCCAGACUCCUACGGGAGGCAGCAGUGGGGAAUUUUGGACAAUGGGGGCAACCCUGAUGCAGCAAUGCCGCGUGUGUAAAGAAGGCCUUCGGGUUGUAAAGCACUUUUGUCAGGAACGAAACGGUGGGGGCUAAUAUCCUCUGCUAAUGAC